rnacentral:rRNA from 1 species
UACGGGGGGGGCAAGCGUUGUUCGGAAUUACUGGGCGUAAAGGGCUCGUAGGCGGCCAACUAAGUCAUACGUGAAAUCCCUCGGCUUAACCGGGGAACUGCGUCUGAUACUGGAUGGCUUGAGUUCGGGAGAGGGAUGCGGAAUUCCGGGUGUAGUGGUGAAAUGCGUAGAUAUCCGGAGGAACACCAGUGGCGAAAGCGGCCACCUGGACUGCACCUGACGCUGACACGCGAAAGCUAGGGGAGCGAACGGG